rnacentral:rRNA from 1 species
UCGAGCGGUAAGGCCCCUUCGGGGGUACACGAGCGGCGAACGGGUGAGUAACACGUGAGCAACCUACCCUCAACUUCGGGAUAAGCCUCGGAAACGGGGUCUAAUACCGGAUAUCACUUCCUGCUUCAUGGUGGGGGGUUGAAAGUUCUGGCGGUUGGGGAUGGGCUCGCGGCCUAUCAGCUUGUUGGUGGGGUAAUGGCCUACCAAGGCGUCGACGGGUAGCCGGCCUGAGAGGGCGACCGGCCACACUGGGACUGAGACACGGCCCAGACUCCUACGGGAGGCAGCAGUGGGGAAUAUUGCGCAAUGGACGAAAGUCUGACGCAGCAACGCCGCGUGAGGGAUGACGGCCUUCGGGUUGUAAACCUCUUUCAGCAGGGACGAAGCGAGAGUGACGGUACCUGCAGAAGAAGGACCGGCCAACUACGUGCCAGCAGCCGCGGUAAUACGUAGGGUCCGAGCGUUGUCCGGAAUUAUUGGGCGUAAAGGGCUCGUAGGCGGUUCGUCACGUCGGGAGUGAAAACUCGGAGCUUAACUCCGAGCCUGCUUCCGAUACGGGCAGACUAGAGGUAGGCAGGGGAGAGCGGAACUCCUGGUGUAGCGGUGGAAUGCGCAGAUAUCAGGAAGAACACCGGUGGCGAAGGCGGCUCUCUGGGCCUUACCUGACGCUGAGGAGCGAAAGCGUGGGUAGCGAACAGGAU